GACGUAGGAGGCAAGCGUUAUCCGGAUUUAUUGGGUUUAAAGGGUGCGUAGGCGGGCUAUUAAGUCAGUGGUGAAAUCCUGCAGCUUAACUGCAGAACUGCCGUUGAUACUGAUAGUCUUGAGUUUGGUUAAGGUAGGCGGAAUGUGUAAUGUAGCGGUGAAAUGCUUAGAUAUUACACAGAACACCAAUUGCGUAGGCAGCUUACUGAGCCGACACUGACGCUGAGGCACGAAAGCGUGGGGAUCGAACAGGAUUAGA
rnacentral:rRNA from 1 species